rnacentral:rRNA from 1 species
GUGGUUUGUAUACAGGUGGUGCAUGGUUGUCGUCAGCUCGUGUCGUGAGAUGUUGGGUUAAGUCCCGCAACGAGCGCAACCCUUGUCUUAUGUUGCCAGCAUUUGGUUGGGGACUCAUGAGAGACUGCCGGGGUCAACUCGGAGGAAGGUGGGGAUGACGUCAAAUCAUCAUGCCCCUUAUGUCCAGGGCUUCACACAUGCUACAAUGGUCGGUACAACGCGCAGCGACACUGUGAGGUGGAGCGAAUCGCUGAAAGCCGGCCUUAGUUCGGAUUGGGGUCUGCAACUCGACCCCAUGAAGUCGGAGUCGCUAGUAAUCGCAGAUCAGCAACGCUGCGGUGAAUACGUUCCCGGGCCUUGUACACACCGCCCGUCACGUCAUGAAAGUUGGUAACACCCGAAGCCAGUGGCUCAAACUCGUUAGGGAGCUGUCGAAGGUGGGAUCGGCGAUUGGGACGAAGUCGUAACAAGGUAGCCGUACCGGAAGGUGCGGCUGGAUCACCUCCUUUCUAAGGAG